AGCCUGACCAAGUCCCACUUGCUGUUCUGCCAGGGAGCCUGAUUUUGGCACUGGUGUAUUUCCAGAACCAAGGUGGGUGCCCGGUCUGAGGCCCUAGCGGGUGUCUGGGUCCCUUCCUGGAGGCCCCUUGCCUCCCUCAGCCCUGGCUUUUGGGACUUAGCAGGGGAGGAAGUUUUUUGUUUUGUUUUGUUUUGAGACGAAGUCUCACUGUCACCAAGGCUGGAGUGCAGUGGCACAAUCUCGGCUCACUGCAACCUCCCUCUCCUGGGUUCAAGCGAUUCUCCCGCCUCAGCGUUGCGAGUUGCUGGGACUACAGGUACGUGUCACUACACAGGCUAAUUUUUGUAUUUUUUAGUAGAGAUGAGGUUUCACUGUGUUAGCCAGGCUGAACUCCUGACCUCAUGAUCCGCCCGCCUCGGCCUCCCAAAGUGCUGGGAUUACCGGCAUGAGCCACCGCGCCCGGCCUAUGGGAGGAAGUUCUGACAUGGAUGGCAGGGGUGGGGAGGGCAGCUGAGGACUCUGGAGCAGAGGCUGGGGCCCCACUCUGGCUUUCCCUGGCCCUAAAGGAAGGGUGGGGUCUGAGAGUGUGGAGGCCUGAGAGCAGGGGCAGCACAGACACCCACUCUGAGACCACUUGGUUGUCCCAGCCACCGGGUUCCAGGUGUCUGGGGCCAGGUGGGGUUUUCUCUCCAAGCCCAGAGUGACCUCCCCACUCCCAGCCUUGCCCAGAGCAAGUCUUGCUGAGUUCUAAGGUGAACUCCCACUUGUUCCAGACCAGGGACACAGGGUCCUGCAGGCCUCCCGGAGCAAGCACUCUUGAGAGGGCUUCUCCACGUGGCCACAGGACAGACUGUGCUUCAUCCAGCACUGUACGCUCAAACACACACACCUGAAACAAAGGCUCCACGAACAGGCCUGCCCUUACAGCACACCAUGCUCUUGUUUAGUCUUCCUUAUGUUUUUUGUUUUCGUUUUGAGACGGAGUCUUGCCCUAUUGCCCAGGCUGGAGUGCAGUGGUGCAAUCUUGGCUCACUGCAACCUCUGCCUUCCAGGUUCAAGCGAUUCUCCUGCCUCAGCCUCCUGAGUAGCUGGGAUUACAGGCACACAGCACCAUGCCCGGCUAGUUUUUCUAUUUUUAGUAGAGAAAGGGUUUCACCAUGUUGGUCAGGCUAGUCUCGAACUCCUGACCUCGUGAUCUGCCCGCUUCGGCCUCCCAAAGUGUUGGGAUUACAGGCAUGAGCCACCACACCCGGCUGUCUUCCUUAUUUUUUUAAAUGCCAGCUGUUUUAUGCACAAUUGUCCCAAACUAGAAACAACCCAAUUAUCCAUCAACUGGUAAAGGAAUAAACUAAUGUGUUAUCUUUGUUUGUUUAUUUAAUUUUGAUACAGGGUCCCACUCUGUCGCCCAGGCUGGAGUACAGUGGAGAGAUCACAGGUAACUACAGCCUAAACCUCUUGGGCUCAAGUGAUCUUCCCACCUCGGGCACACCUGGCUAAUUUUUUUUUUUAAUUGAAUGUGGUAUAUUAUUUAAAAGGAAUGCUGGCCAGGUGUGGUGGCUCAUGCCUGUCUGUAAUCCCAACACUUUGGGAGGCCAAGGUGGGUGGAUCACCUGAGGUCAGGAGUUCAAUAUCAGCCUGGCCAACAUGGUGAAACCCUGUCUCUACUAAAAAUACAAAAGUUAGCCAUGCGUGGUGGCGCACGCCUGUAAUCUCAGCUACUUGGGAGGCUGAAACACGAGAAUUGCUUGAAACUGGGAGGCAGAGGUUGCAAAGUAAACCAAGUUUAUGCCACUGUGUUCCAGCCUGGGCGACAGAGCGAGACUGUCUCAAAAAAAAAAAGAAAAAAAAAACUAUAAUGGUAAAUUUUGCUAUGUAUAUUUUUAUCAGUGUUUAAAAAAAAACAUAACAAACUCUCCCUUGGCUCUGCCAUGCUCCUUAUAGGGCAGGCUACUGUAAAAUGAAACUACGGGCCAGGCACGGUGGCUCAUGCCUGUAAUCCCAGCACUUUGGGAGGCCAAGAUGGGUGGAUCACCUGAGGUCGGGAGUUCGAGACCAGCCUGACCAAUAUGGAGAAACCCCCGUCUCUACUAAAAAUACAAAUUUAGUCGGGUGUGGUGGCACAUGCCUGUAAUCCCAGCUACUUGGGAGGCUGAGGCAGGAGAAUCACUUGAACCCAGGAGUCGGAGGUUGCAGUUGAGCCGAGAUCAUAGCAUGCCAUUGCACUCCAGCCUGGGGGACAAGAGCGAAACUCUGUCUCACAAAAAAAAAAAAAAAAAAAAAAAAAGGAAGAAAGGAAGGAAGGAAAGAGAGAGAAAGAAACUACAGGGACUCUUGUUAAAAAAUUAUUAAGAAUUUCAAGAUGGCAACAGCAGCAUAUUAAAACCAAGUGUGGUCUCUUCUAGGCUCAGGACCCUAUGGGAUUGCACAGGUCGCAGCCCAAGCGCAGUACUUGCGCACAGGUCCCAGCCCCUUCCCUCUCUGGGACUUGUCUUCUGGCCCCUCACUCCUGCGAUGAGCUUUUCUUUCAGCUGGUGAAAGGCCGCAGACUUCGAACCUCUGGGCCUUUGUCCAGGACGUUCCCUCAGCGCUCAGUGCCCUUCCUGGUGGCCUCCUACAUCUUCAGAUCCCGGCUGAGCUCUGCUUAAAUCCGGGACCGGGUAGUCACUGGGGCAGCCACUUGGCUGGGGCGAGGCCACCUCGCUUUGGGUCUUGUCGCGCCCAGGCCAGCGCCAGCCCAGGCUUGCCAUGGACUGGCUCCUGGGCGUUAGAUGAAUGAAUCGACUCAACCCGGGCCGCCACGUUGUGUUCAGAACACCGACAGUCGCUCCCAGGCAACCAGCACCUGCUGCGCCCCGUUUCCAGCGACCUCCCCAACCGCGUGGACUCGCAUCCACGUGCCCGGCGGGGCCGCAGCAGAAAGGCUCGGACCCCCCAGGACGAUCGGCCGGUGGGGGCCGGUGGGGCCGCAGACUCGGGGGGCGGGGGGCGCCAGGCUUCCGGGUCCUGCCCCCGCCCCGUGGGGAACAGCAGGACGGCGCCGAGGCCGUUUCGCUUUCCUCCGCGCCCAUUUGCCGGGAGGGGACCCCGUGCUCCGACCUGAAGGUGACGGCAGAGCCUGCGGGAGGCCUAGGCCGGUCCCGCCCUACGGGUCCCGGGGGCGACCCUCGCGCUGACAUUGGCGUCCAGGCCGCGGCCCCUGCCUCCGCGCCCACCCACGCCGGGCCUGGCCCUCGCUCCCCCGGGAAAAGCCCCGCCGGCGGCCGCGAGAGCGCGGAAGCGCAGCCGUAGUGACCGCGAGACAAAGACCCGGCGGCGGGGGAGGCGGCGGAGAGACCCCGCCAGCGCGGAGACCCCAGGGAAGCUUCUCUGGAAGACCUGGUGCUGGUCCGCUCUCCCGGGACCUCAUUUUCCUUAUGUGGACAACGGGGGCGGGGUCACAGCAGCCCCUCGGGCUUAUAGCCGGGUUGUUCUUUCCUUAAAUCUCCUCCCUCUGCCAAAAUAAAAAACCCCACAGGG
rnacentral:lncRNA from 1 species